CCGUUUUAGGCACUUUGGAGUUUGACCUUCUGUAUGACCAGGCCUCCUGCACCCUGCAGUGCAGUAUCCUCAGGGCCAAGGGCCUCAAGCCCAUGGACUUCAAUGGCCUGGCUGACCCUUAUGUCAAGCUGCACUUGCUGCCUGGAGCCUGCAAGGCUAAUAAGCUCAAAACCAAGACGCAGAGGAACACGCUUAAUCCAGUGUGGAACGAGGACCUGACGUACAGCGGGAUCACGGAUGAUGACAUC